rnacentral:lncRNA from 1 species
AAGAAGCCGGGGGGGGCCUGUCCUUCUCCUCCGCCGCCUGCUUCUUUUCCUCCCUUUUCCUUCGCUUCCUCCUCCCUCUUUUUUCUCCUCCUCUCCUUCCGCUCGUCGUGCCGGGCCUCCUCCUCUCCCCACCUUCCUCCUCCCACUCCCGCUUCCCUGCUCACACUUUCCUCUUUCUGGGAUGGAAGUUCUGUCCGGGAGGAACCAGGCACGGGUCCCCCGAUGCCACCUUCCUUAACAGGAGAGAUCGUGCCAGGACUUCAGAUGUGUCUAACAGUUCUCCUGAAUCUUCACCAUGAUAGCGAGCUUUCUAGCGCCGCCAGGUAAGCUCACCCAAUGCCACAGGCAGCAAAGAGCAGAGCUGAUAGCAAGGUGCAAGACCAGCUUCCCCACUCAUGCUGGCAAGGUCAGCCCUCCC